rnacentral:lncRNA from 1 species
AUCUGGAAUCUAAUAUAAGGCACAAAUGAAUCUUUCUGCCGAGACCAGCUCAGCAGGAUGGGGCUGAAGAACGGGUGCUGUGAAACUUAAGGAAAAAAGAUAACAUAAAACAAGACAGAGACAUUUAUCUUAAGUAAAGGUGGGAACCAGGGGACUCAAGGUCUCGGGGGCCAAAAGCACUGUCUCAAGAAACCACAUUGCUUUUAUUGUCCUCUUUAGGAUGAGAUUAAGUGAGGAGGGGGCUAUGGGUGGAGGAUAUAGGGUUUGAUUAUUUUAUAAGUUCUUUUAUUAUUUUAAAAGUCACUUAGCUGGUAGAAGUUUAAGCUUUUACUCUGACCUUGAGGCACAUAAUAAUUAGCAUUUGUUAGCUAUCUAUGCAUAGCAUUCCAGAGAAUCCUCACUGUGCUUCCACAAACUGCAUGCCUAUUUUCAGCAACCCAGCGUGCCUAGGUUUGCACCUUGGUUCUCUUUGCUAAUGCAUAUUCUGCUAACGACUACUCAUAAACCACUUGGCCAUGAGGUUCCUCUUUCUCUUACUCCUUAGAGGAUAUAUUGGAUAUAUAAUGCUUGUGCACACGGCGUGCCAAUCUGCACAGGUCCAUGUGCGUAGACCAACGCAUUCAGCUGACCCUAUGAAUAGCUUAUGCCUUUAGGUCUUUGUUCUUAAGCUUAAGUCAUUUACCAGCACUGUGACUCUUUUUCCAAGCAGGAAGAUGGGAUAAAGUAAAGCAAGAAGAUGGGAUAAAGUAAAGCAGGAUAAGAUGGAGUUUUCAGCAAAGAGGCUAAGAAAAUAUUGUAGAAACAUGUCUGUGACACCUUUCCACAGGAAAGAAAAUCAUGGACCUGCAGAAUAGACUUGUGGUUGCCAAGGGGGAGGAGGAAGGAGUGGGGUGGUUGGGGAGCUUGGGAUUAAUAGAUACAAACUAUUGCCUUUGGAAUGGAAUAGCAAUGAGAUCCUGCUGUGUAGCAAUGGGAACUAUGUCUAGUCACUUAUGAUGGAGCGUGAUAAUGUGAGAAAAUAGAAUGUGUACAUGUAUGUGUAACUGGGUCACCAUGCUAUACAGUAGAGGCCACACUUGGGGCAUGUAGCAGUUCCUAGGCCGGGGACUGAACCCAUACCAAAGCAGUGACCUGAGCCACAUCAGUGACAGUGCUGGAUCCUUAACUCACUGUGCCACAAGAGAACUCCAAGAUCCAACUGGAUUUUUUUUUUUUUUCCUGUCUUUUUAGGGCUACACCCUCAGCAUAUGAAGAUUCCCAGGCUAGGGGUCAAGUUGGAGCUGCAGCUGCCAACCUAUGCCACAGGCACAGCAAUGCAGGAUCCAAGCCGAAUCUGCAGCCUACACCAUAGCUCACGGCAACUCGGGAUCCUUAACCCACUGAGCAAGGCCAGGGAUCUAACCUGCAGCCUCAUGGUUCCUAGUCGGAUUCCUCUCUGCUGGGCUAGGACCGGAACUCCUGUUUUACUUUCUAUUUGUUACAUUCUAGCAAUGGUUUCCUGAAUUUCUGUGGUAGCUUUAAUACAAUCUAUAUUGUAAUUCCUAGGGGGGUUACCACCCUUUUCCUUAAGGUGGGGGCUGGGAGAACUACUUCACAACGUCAACAUUUUGAUUGCAUUUUGAUUUCAAUUCAGAAAGGAAGGCAUUGCACAGGGGGAUAAACUUUGAGGUGACUGGGGACUGAGGCUUUUGUGAAUUCCAGCUACUUGGUCUCUAGGUCUUCCUUUUGGGUUUUGUCAAAGUCCUCUAUUCUCCUGCAAAUACCUGUGACAGCAACAUAUUACCACUUGUGUGCCUAGGCUUGCAUAUUUGGUAUAUUGCACAGUUUCAGAUGGCAGAGUAAAGGAAGACUUUUUUAAUAGGAUAGGAAAGGUAAAAUGAUUGCCCAGUCUUAGCACCUGGCUAGGGUAUCUCCUGGGUAGAGAAACAAGAGUUGUGCCCAAUUAAAAUAAUCCCCAUUUUAAUGAAUCUGUUCAUUUUUCCAGGUUUGUGGUUUUUGUGAUUUUGGUAGAGGCUUUCCUAAACUAUGAGGGCAAUAUAGAAAUCACCAGAUAGGAGUUCCCAUUGUGGUUCAGUGGUUAACAAACCUGACUAGUAUCCAUGAGGAUUUGGGUUCGAUCCCUGGCUUUGCUCAUUGGGUUAGGGAUCCCGUGUUGCUAUGGCUGUGGUUUAGGCAGGCAG